rnacentral:lncRNA from 1 species
ACGAUAACAAUGACAUAAAUAAUUAAAUUAGGUUGGUUUUGUUGGUGACUAGAUAUAUUUGAUCACAUCAAAUCUGGAAUUAGGAAGCCUGAUCCCUUUGUAAUCCGUACGUCGUCCAUUGACUGAUGAUACAGAGGCCACAUUUGCGAAUCAGUGAACAAUUGUGGCGUACUGAUCACUUGGAAAAUUCUGCAAAGUAUAUGCCCUACAAUAUGUCAUGUCCAUUUUGGAUCCGUACAUUAUUAGUUUAACUCGCUGGCUUCCAUAAUUUUUCAAUGUAGAAAAUUCCCAUUUUCAUUUUGCCCUUUAAUUUUCCACAAUGCAAGUGGUAGUAGUAGACCAGUCCUUAGGUGCGAAUCACUGUUUGACUGAUUUUUUUUUUUUCAUGAAAGAAGAAAAAUAAUGAGAAUAUAUUACCUUAAUUAAGGUGUCAUAAGUAUCCCCAAACUCUAAAAAGUAUAUAUGCUUUAGAUAGGAAAAAGAUUAGAGGACACCAAAUGUUAUUUAGAGGACACCAAGAUGGAAAAGAGUGAAACAAGGAAAAAAAAUGUGAUAGGUGUGAUAUGAUAUGAUAAGAAAAGAAUAAUAGAUGUUGAUAAAGUGUUUGCUAUAUAGAGGUGUUUAUAUAUUAUCACUUCUUUAGUUAUAAGAAAAAGAAGAAAACAAAAACCAAUUUCUAUCUAGUCUUUGAUCAUUGAAGACAUUAUUAUGUUAUGAUUACUUAAUACUCAAGUAGAGCAAAAUAUAAUCAAGCUUCCUAAAAGAAGAGGUAUAUGGAAAGAGAAUUACAGCACUUGCUCAGGCUAACUCAUUUGUUCAUCUUCUCAGUUUAAAUAGCUUUUACCCAUACCAUCAACGAACAAAUUCAUGAUCUUCAAAAGCCACAACUGGUGCCCGUCUAA